GAGAGUAUAGCUCAAGUGGUAGAGAGCAUGCUUAGCAUGCAUGAGGCCCUGGGUUCAACCCCCAGUACCUCCU
rnacentral:tRNA from 1 species